CUCGUCGACUUGGCCACGGGGCUCAUGACCUUCACGGCCAACGGCAAAGAGAUCAACACCUUCUUCCAGGUGGAGCCCAACACGAAGCUGUUCCCGGCCGUGUUCGUGCUGCCCACCACCCAAAACGUGCUCCAGUUCGAGCUGGGAAAGCUCAAGAACAUCAUGCCCA